UACGGAGGGGGCGAGCGUUGUCCGAAGUUACUGGGCGUAAAGCGCGCGUAGGCGGGUUGGUAAGUCCGCUGUGAAAGCCCGGGGCUUAACCCCGGAGGGUCGGUGGAUACUGCCAGUCUUGAAGGUGCUAGGGAGAGAUGGAAUUACCGGUGUAGCGGUGAAAUGCGUAGAUAUCGGAAGGAACACCAGUGGCGAAAGCGGCUUCCUGGUCCAGCACCGACGUUCAGGCACGAAAGCGUGGGGAGCAAACAGG
rnacentral:rRNA from 1 species